rnacentral:snoRNA from 13 species
AGCCUCAUUCUAAAUAAAAUAAGAGUGGGCACUGUUGAUAAUAGUGUUCAAAAAUUGUUAAUGUGGCUAAAUUGAGACACAGGUUAUGCUUCCAUCACAGUAUAUGUAUUACAGUGGUGACAAUGAGACCUGUGACAUUU